GAGCGACAGAUAAGGAGCUUGCUCCUUUGACGUUAGCGGCGGACGGGUGAGUAACACGUGGGUAACCUACCUAUAAGACUGGAAUAACUCCGGGAAACCGGGGCUAAUGCCGGAUAACAUAUAGAACCGCAUGGUUCUAUAGUGAAAGAUGGUUUUGCUAUCACUUAUAGAUGGACCCGCGCCGUAUUAGCUAGUUGGUAAGGUAAUGGCUUACCAAGGCGACGAUACGUAGCCGACCUGAGAGGGUGAUCGGCCACACUGGAACUGAGACACGGUCCAGACUCCUACGGGAGGCAGCAGUAGGGAAUCUUCCGCAAUGGGCGAAAGCCUGACGGAGCAACGCCGCGUGAGUGAUGAAGGGUUUCGGCUCGUAAAACUCUGUUAUUAGGGAAGAACAUAUGUGUAAGUAACUGUGCACAUCUUGACGGUACCUAAUCAGAAAGCCACGGCUAACUACGUGCCAGCAGCCGCGGUAAUACGUAGGUGGCAAGCGUUAUCCGGAAUUAUUGGGCGUAAAGCGCGCGUAGGCGGUUUCUUAAGUCUGAUGUGAAAGCCCACGGCUCAACCGUGGAGGGUCAUUGGAAACUGGGAAACUUGAGUGCAGAAGAGGAAAGUGGAAUUCCAUGUGUAGCGGUGAAAUGCGCAGAGAUAUGGAGGAACACCAGUGGCGAAGGCGACUUUCUGGUCUGUAACUGA
rnacentral:rRNA from 1 species